GAUGAAGAACGCAGUGAAAUGCGAUAAGUAAUGUGAAUUGCAGAAUUCAGUGAAUCAUCGAAUCAUUGAACGCACAUUGCGCCCGCCAGUAUUCUGGCGGGCAUGCCUGUCUGAGCGUCAUUUCAACCCUCAUGCCCCUAGGGCGUGGUGUUGGGGAUCGGCCAAAGCCCGCGAGGGACGGCCGGCCCCUAAAUCUAGUGGCGGACCCGUCGUGGCCUCCUCUGCGAAGUAGUGAUAUUCCGCAUCGGAGAGCGAUGAGCCCCUGCCGUUAAACCCCCAACUUUCCAAGGUUGACCUCAGAUCAGGUAGGAAUACCCGCUGAACUUAAGCAUAUCAAUAAGCGGAGGA
rnacentral:misc_RNA from 1 species